GACGAACGCUGGCGGCGUGCUUAACACAUGCAAGUCGAGCGGUAAGGCCCUUUCGGGGUACGACGAGCGGCGAACGGGUGAGUAACACGUGGGUGACCUGCCCUCAGCUCUGGGAUAAGCCCGGGAAACUGGGUCUAAUACCGGAUAUGACUUCAUGACGCAUGUUGUGGAGUGGAAAGCCUUGUGCGGCUGAGGAUGGGCCCGCGGCCUAUCAGCUUGUUGGUGGGGUGAGGCCUACCAAGGCGACGACGGGUAGCCGGCCUGAGAGGGCGACCGGCCACACUGGGACUGAGAUACGGCCCAGACUCCUACGGGAGGCAGCAGUGGGGAAUCUUGCGCAAUGGGCGAAAGCCUGACGCAGCGACGCC
rnacentral:rRNA from 1 species